rnacentral:rRNA from 1 species
GUCCGGCUAACUUCGUGCCAGCAGCCGCGGUAAUACGAAGGGACCUAGCGUAGUUCGGAAUUACUGGGCUUAAAGAGUUCGUAGGUGGUUGAAAAAGUUGGUGGUGAAAUCCCAGAGCUUAACUCUGGAACUGCCAUCAAAACUUUUCAGCUAGAGUUUGAUAGAGGAAAGCAGAAUUUCUAGUGUAGAGGUGAAAUUCGUAGAUAUUAGAAAGAAUACCAAUUGCGAAGGCAGCUUUCUGGAUCAUUACUGACACUGAGGAACGAAAGCAUGGGUAGCGAAGAGGAUUAGAUACCCUCGUAGUCCAUGCCGUAAACGAUGUGUGUUAGACGUUGGAAAUUUAUUUUCAGUGUCGCAGCGAAAGCGAUAAACACACCGCCUGGGGAGUACGACCGCAAGGUUAAAACUCAAAUGAAUUGACGGGGACCCGCACAAGUAGUGGAGCAUGUGGUUUAAUUCGAAGAUACGCGCAGAACCUUACCAACACUUGACAUGUUCGUCGCGACUUUAAGAGAUUAAAGUUUUCGGUUCGGCCGGACGAAACACAGGUGCUGCAUGGCUGUCGUCAGCUCGUGUCGUGAGAUGUUGGGUUAAGUCCCGCAACGAGCGCAACCCUCACUUUUAGUUGCCAUCAUUAAGUUGGGCACUCUGAAAGAACUGCCAGUGAUAAGCUGGAGGAAGGUGGGGAUGACGUCAAGUCCUCAUGGCCCUUACGUGUUGGGCUACACACGUGCUACAAUGGUAUCUACAACAGGAAGCAAAACGGCGACGUUAAGCAAAUCCUUAAAAGAUACCUCAGUUCGGAUUGCACUCUGCAACUCGAGUGCAUGAAGCUGGAAUUACUAGUAAUCGUGGAUCAGCGUGCCACGGUGAAUGCGUC